AGAGUUUGAAUCAUGGCUCAGAACGAACGCUGGCGGCGCGUCUUAAACAUGCAAGUCGAACGAUCUGUAGCAAUACAGGGAGUGGCGGACGGGUGAGGAACACGUAGGAAUCUACCUUGAAGAGCGGGACAACUUUGGGAAACCGGGGCUAAUACCGCAUAGUACAGAGAUGUUAAAGGGCUAGCAAUAGUCGCUUCGAGAUGAGCCUGCGGUCUAUCAGCUUGUUGGUGAGGUAAUGGGCUCACCAAGGCUACGACGGGAUAGCCGGUCUGAGAGGAUGAUCGGCCACACUGGCACUGAGACACGGGCCAAACUCCUACGGGAGGCAGCAGUUAAGAAUCUUGCGCAAUGGGGGAAACCCUGACGCAGCGACGCCGCGUGAAGGAUGAAGGCUUUCGGGUUGUAAACUUCGGUAGACUGGGAAGAAGAACUACGUUCGUUGAGGGCGUAGAGUGACGGUACCAGUCUGAAGCCCCGGCUAAUUACGUG
rnacentral:rRNA from 1 species